AGCUCCAAUAGCGUAUAUUAAAGUUGUUGCAGUUAAAAAGCUCGUAGUUGGAUUUGUGGCUGUCGCGUGCGGCCCGGCAUUCGUGCCGGUGUUUGCUAGCGUCGCCAUCCUUGGGUGGAACCUGUGUGGCAUUAGGUUGUCGUGCAGGGGAUGCCCAUCGUUUACUGUGAAAAAAUUAGAGUGUUCAAAGCAGGCUUAUGCCGUUGAAUAUAUUAGCAUGGAAUAAUAAGAUAGGACCUUGGUACUAUUUUGUUGGUUUGCGCACCAAGGUAAUGAUUAAUAGGGACAGUUGGGGGUAUUCGUAUUCCAUUGUCAGAGGUGAAAUUCUUGGAUUUUUGGAAGACGAACUACUGCGAAAGCAUUUACCAAGGAUGUUUUCAUUAAUCAAGAACGAAAGUAC
rnacentral:rRNA from 1 species